rnacentral:rRNA from 1 species
UGGGGAAUUUUGGACAAUGGGCGAAAGCCUGAUCCAGCAAUGCCGCGUGUGUGAAGAAGGCCUUCGGGUUGUAAAGCACUUUUGUCCGGAAAGAAAUCCUUGGCUCUAAUACAGUCGGGGGAUGACGGUACCGGAAGAAUAAGCACCGGCUAACUACGUGCCGGCAGCCGCGGUAAUACGUAGGGUGCAAGCGUUAAUCGGAAUUACUGGGCGUAAAGCGUGCGCAGGCGGUUUGCUAAGACCGAUGUGAAAUCCCCGGGCUCAACCUGGGAACUGCAUUGGUGACUGGCAGGCUAGAGUAUGGCAGAGGGGGGUAGAAUUCCACGUGUAGCAGUGAAAUGCGUAGAGAUGUGGAGGAAUACCGAUGGCGAAGGCAGCCCCCUGGGCCAAUACUGACGCUCAUGCACGAAAGCGUGGGGAGCAAACAGGAUUAGAUACCCUGGUAGUCCACGCCCUAAACGAUGUCAACUAGUUGUUGGGGAUUCAUUUCCUUAGUAACGUAGCUAACGCGUGAAGUUGACCGCCUGGGGAGUACGGUCGCAAGAUUAAAACUCAAAUGAAUUGACGGGGUCAUAGCUGUUUCCU